rnacentral:rRNA from 1 species
AUUGAACGCUGGCGGCAGGCCUAACACAUGCAAGUCGAGCGAGCGGCGGACCGGUGAGUACUGUAUGGGGACUGCCCGAUAGAGGGGGAUAACUCCUGGAAACGGUGGCUAAUACCGCAUACUAUCGGAAAACCCAUAUGGGAUUAGAUAGUAGGUGGGGUACAGGCUCACCUAGGCGCCGAUCUCUAGCUGGUCUGGGAGGAUGAUCAGCCACUCUGUGACGUAGACACGGCCCAGACUCCUACGGAGUCAGCAGUGGGGAUUAUUGCACCAUGGGCGCAAGCCGGAUGCAGCCAUGCCGCGUGUAUGAAGAAGGCCUUAGGGUUGUAAAGUACUGUCAGCGGGGAGGCGUUACCCGCAGAAGAAGCACCGGCUAACUCCGUGCCAGCAGCCGCGUUAAUUC